rnacentral:rRNA from 1 species
GGCGCGCAAAUUAUUCAAUGGAAACAAUUUUCCGAAAUAGUGACAAAAAAUAUCAAUGCUGGGUAUUAUAUACUUAGUAAUUGGAAUGAGUACAAUUUAAAUCCCUUAACAAGUAACAAUUAGAGGGCAAGUCUGGUGCCAGCAGCCGCGGUAAUUCCAGCUCUAAUAGCGUAUAUUAAUAUUGUUGCAGUUAAAAAGCUCGUAGUUGAAAUUUGGGACUUUAUUGUAUUGGUUUACCUUUUAGUGAACUAUAUAAUGGGUUUCUUCCUACUAGAGUUCGAUUCUGUUCUUAACUGAAUGGAUAGCUAUCUCUCGGGGGUAUCAGUUGGUUAUUAUAUCUCCACUAAUAAGGCAGAGAGGAGUAAAUCUUCAAAAGGUGAGUUAUGUGGGGUCAAGGUAUGAUGAUUAA